rnacentral:lncRNA from 1 species
UCAUCCCGCACGAAGCCUGGUCCAAGGUGGGGCGGGCGUUCGGAGGUCAGCCCAGCUCGUGAUGAGAGAGCACGGCCGCGCUCCCCAGGCUCUCUGACCUCACUGCACCAUUUGUACUUUUGGCAAGUGUCACUUGUCAAGACUCAGACUUUGAUUCAGCAACCAGGAAACCAUGAGGAAUGUGACUGAGGAAAGCAUACAAGAAGAGAUCUUCGGCCUAGUUUUCAAUCUCCGAGUAAUGCGACGGGUAAACUUAGAUCAUGAUGCUUGGCAUUACGGAAGCUAUCUUGGUACCAUGAGGUUGAAAGCCACAAGCUGAGAACUGUGUCACAGGAAGCAAGCAGAAUCCUUCCCUCAUGAUCUCAUGAAGCCAC